GUGACGCCAUUGUCUUGGGCUGAGUGGAUUGUUGUUUUGUAUCUUUCAUUUCCUGUUAUUAUAAUUGACGAGAUACUGAAGUUCUUCUCAAGAAAUACAAGUGGAGCACGAUCCAAGUUCAGAGUGAGAAGAGCUGAUAUACUUCCAAAGACAGAAUUACAUAAUAAAUGACAAGUGGAAUAUGUACCAAAUUUGGCGCGACGUUCAGGUUGGCCUACUAACCUACAGUUUGUUGUGAAACACCAUUCAGUCAUGUUUCUCUCUUCUGCUUUCAUCUGCAUUGUGCCGAGGAACUACCUAAGAUGUUUCCAAUACAACCGCACAGACUAUUCCAGUCUGCUGUGAGUUUUAUUCUCAUUCACUGAUGCCAAUUGGCUUUAUAUGUUGUAAGAAAUAGAAAAAGGACAACUGCGAGUAUUUUCGGAUCUCAUAGACUACUUUUCUCAAAAUGCUGUUUGACAAUAAUUUAUAGAAUUUAAGGGGUUUUGGUUUGGCAUAGAACAAGUACUACUCACGACCGCCUUCUUGUAUACAAUUUGCCCUCAAAAUACAUGGUCCUGAAGUUAUGUUGAAACAACAUUGUUCAGAUUGAUUUUUUAAGCAGUUGAAUCUUUGUCCAUGAUGACUCAAAUUCUCGUUGCCAGAGGUUGCUUUUUCUUUUUAAGAUAAUGGAGGUUCAUGGGCUGCCGAAGAUUUAUAUUUUAUUUUAUUAUUACAAUGUAUUACAUACUAAUGAGUCACAAUAACAAUAUAUGUCAUUAUUACAAAGAAAAUUGCCACCCAAGAUUGCUCAUAAAGGUUCAAGAGACAUCUACCUUUUGAACGUAGCAAAGUUAGUAGUGUUGGUGAGAUAUGCUGGCUAGUAGUAGUUGUAUUGUACCAGGUUGAUUCAGCAGCCCUCAAACUGCCAAUCUUGAAACUUGGCAGUUGGUUGAAGAUGGCAGUUUCGAACCAGCUGGAUGGAACCAGUGGGAGGAGAAGGAUCAAGUCGAGCAGUGUCGAUGGCCCAUUGGACCAGUUUCUGCACUCCAUCUUAAUCCACUCCAUCAUCACUUGCAAUUGUUCUAUUACUUAUUGGGACGCAGUCAAGGAUCAGAAGAAAAAAGAAAAGCGAAGAAGAGAGGUCUUGAGAGCAGUGAAUUGAGCAAACAGAUCAUAUUUGCUAUAGUUGAUGUUGCUAUCAAAGCUGUGACCUUCUUCCCAUCAUCACUGUGAUCGGUUGUUGUUUCAUAUUCUGUUUUUUUUUUUGUUACUGUACUGUUUAAGAAGACAAUAAAGUGUUACUUUGAUAGUCAGUAAAAUGUUAUUGUGAAAUA